rnacentral:rRNA from 1 species
AUACGUAGGUGGCAAGCGUUGUCCGGAAUUAUUGGGCGUAAAGCGCGCGCAGGCGGUCCCUUAAGUCUGAUGUGAAAGCCCCCGGCUUAACCGGGGAGGGUCAUUGGAAACUGGGGGACUUGAGUGCAGAAGAGAAGAGCGGAAUUCCAUGUGUAGCGGUGAAAUGCGCAGAGAUAUGGAGGAACACCAGUGGCGAAGGCGGCUCUUUGGUCUGUAACUGACGCUGAGGCGCGAAAGCGUGGGGAGCAAACAGGAUUAGAUACCCUGGUAGUCCACGCCGUAAACGAUGAGUGCUAAGUGUUAGAGGGGUUAUCCCUUUAGUGCUGCAGCUAACGCGUUAAGCACUCCGCCUGGGGAGUACGGCCGCAAGGCUGAA